UGCCCCGCAGGGAGGGGCAGGCAGUGCCCGGGAGCUGCUGGCGGGAGCGCCAUCUGGACACGGGCUUGGCACCCGGGCUCCAUGAAAAUCGUGAGCUGGGCCCUCCCCUUCUCAGGGUGGGCCGCCACUGACUCAUUUCAGAGAGACCUCGGAGCCGGGAGGAUGACUGCUCUAGGUUGCUAUGAGGAUACGGGAUCCUUAGAAAUCUUCCCAGGCCGCAUCCCUGGUCAGCCCUCAUCUUCCUCCUCUGUCUCGGAGCCUCACACACUCCGGUGAUGUCGGCUGUCAUCGCAAAGCCCAGGACUCCAGGUGCCCAGUGCAGCCUGCCCUUCAGACGUGGCUGUCCAGAGGCUCUGAUCCCAAGGGCAUCUCACAGCAACAGGUGCAAACAGAACUCUGUCUUCCUCUUCGGGGACAGCCACUCGGGAAAACCGAUCCACAGUUUCUUAGAAAGUUAAACACACACUUAUCAUAUGA